ensembl:lncRNA
GUGGAGUUUUAGCUAGCUAGCAGCUGCUUCGUAACUUGACUCGUUAGAACCAUUUAUUGUAUAAAACUGUAUAAAACGCAUUUAUUGUGGGGCUACAGGUGAACAGGUAAACAUAAGAGAGAGGUCAUCUUCAACCCGGAAGUGCAGAGGGCGCUGCCAGCUUUAUGCUGCUGUGAUAGAGUCUCUUUGUUUCUGAUGGUCAGACUCAAUGGACCGUUUAAAGAUGUCACUGCAGAUCCUGCAGGAAGUGGUAAGUGGUUCCUUAAUCAAACACGUUAUUGAUGAAGGCAGCAGAUGUUCAGCUGGUAACCUCUGUGUGUCUCCAGACUCCCCCCAGGUAAGCCUUCCCCCUGCAGAUCCAACAUGGCGUCUGACGCGUCCCCUCCUGGUGAGGAAGAGGUGAAGGUGAAGAGCAGCAGGAGGAGGAGCAGGAAGGAGGUGCAGAGGAAGACGGUGAACAUCGAGGAGUUAACAGCCGCUGGUCAUAAAGCUCUGCAGGAGGGACGGCCCGAGGACGCGCUGAGCUGCUUCAAAGACGCUCUGAGGGCCGCAGCACAGCUGCAAGAUUCCCGGGUCCUCCGGGCCUGCUCCGUUAACCUAGGAGCAGCCUACGUGGAGGCAGGCCGACCUCAGAAAGGACUGGACCUCCUGCAGCGGGCUCAUCCUGGUCCGAAGGCCAGCCGCCUCCCUGACCUACAGUUUAACAUAGCCCUGGCCCAUAAUGCACUGGGGCAAAGCCGAGAGGCUGCUGCCUGCUUCCUGCAGGCAGCUCAGCUGUACAGGUCACAGGGAGACGGAGGCAGCGAGGGGGACGCCUGCAUGGAGAUGAGCCGCUGCUACAGCAGAACACAGGUACGAGGAGCAGAACCAGGACCAGGAGCUGUGCUGGUACAGGUGUGUCAGCUGGGUCUGUGUGUUACAGGACUGGUCUCUGGCGGCUCAGGGUUUCCUGCGGGCUGCAGAGAGUUACAGAGUGGCAGCCAUGUUGGGUUGUGCAGCCAAUGCCCUGAAAGAAGCAGGAAAUCACAUGACCCAAUCCGAUCAGUUCAGCCAGGAUGACAUCACCAGCGUCCUGACAGAGUGUCUGAGUCUGACAGACAGCAUCACCGACCCCAGGACUCUGGGUAAUAAAAGAAUCGAUCAUCUGACUGUCUGACUGACUGACUGACUGAUUGAUUGAUUGAUUGAUUGAUUGAUUGACUGAUUGAUUGAUAUGACCACGGCGCUGUCGUCCAGUGGAGCUGUACCUGUCGGUGGGCGUGUCUUACUGCCAGCUCAGGUGUUUCCAGGAGGCAGUGGAGGCCUUCCAGCAGGCUCUGGGUCCUGCAGCUCAGCAGCCCCCCUUGAUGGCAAAAGUCCUGCACAACCUGGGAGCCGCUCUGAACUCUGUGGGCCAGUUCACCCCCGCUGUCGGCUACCACAGGCUGGCUGCCGGACUCUAUGGUGAGACGCCGCCCCGAUCAAUCACCUUUCAAACAGAUCAACCAGAAUACCGAUAACAUCUGGAAUCUUCUCCAUGUUCUGAAGUGGUAAAGUACAGGUGUGUGUGUGUGUGUAGGCUCCCUGGGUUGCCGUGGUGACCAGGCACGGUGUUUCAGUAACUUGGCGUUUGCCUGCAGUCAGCUGGGUGAUGAAGAGGAGGCAGCGGAG